GUUUGUGUGGGGGUCGUGUGAUGUAAUCUUUGAAAGUUUAUGACCGAACCUUUAUUGGGGAGCGACAAGAGAUCUCCGUGAUCAGUUUGGAUGGAGCAGAGCUGUUAUACUCAAGUCUAUUGCGAAAUUGUCUAAACUGGUAUUAACUAUUCCUGGUAAAUCGCGGAGAAGAGUGGAAUGAACAAAAAAGUCAGACCGUGACUAGAACCACCAGCAGCGUAACAAGGAAAUCUUGGAGCAAAGAGACGCCGAGUGGCUCGUGUUGUCCGGUUUGGAUAUCAGCGGCAAAGCGAACGUUGCGUGUACUAUUGCAAAAUAUAUAGCGGAUCUCCACGGUUAGGAUACAGAACACAACGCUUUGGACGUAUCUUUAAAAAAGAGAAAAAUCUGAGACUUUUUGGAUUUGUCUGGGACAUUUUAAACAUUUUGUGACAUAUUGGAUUUAAAACAUUUCGG